rnacentral:tRNA from 1 species
GGUUGGAAAUUAAAAAAACUUCGGACUCAUAACCCGAAGGUCACUGGUUCGAGUCCAGUUCCCGCUA